AAAAACCUGUUGUCUCCUGAUGCAGCCUCUUGAGCAUGGAUGAACUGAGGGGUUCCGUGGGAAAAUGAAAAUGUAAUACUAUUAUCAGAUAUUCGCCAUGGAAUGUACUUCACCACCUUAAACAGAAAAGGUGGCUUUACUUACCUGAUUUUGACAACUGGGUGACAUGGGCCCUUAAAUCACCUCCACCCCUUUAAUUUGCCUAUGGUUUUCCUGGACUCUUGUAAAAGGAAAUGAAGUUAAAAAAAAAAAAAAAAAAGAGCCAGACAUUCUGAGGCCUGAUUUUCCCUCUGUUUGAGUACAGAACUUUAGUCCAGACCCUCCUGAGUUGUCUGGUUUUUUUAAACAGGAAGACUGUUGCUUCCUUAGUAUUAAGACGUUCCCUGUUCUGUGAGGAAUUUUUAUUUGCAAGGGGUAUGUGCAUUCCUUCUCUGAUCCUUCUCUCUGCACACAAGAUGCUGCUGUAAGACUAUGCCCCAAGGUUGCAAUUUAAUCAGCAGCCUGAAGGGAGUGCUGCUGCGCCGGAGCAGAGUAUCCUAAAGACAGGGAGGCGGAGAGGGCCAUGCUGAUGGUGACCAUGCUGUUGGCCAAAAAGGUGGCUGAUCACACCAUCCUCGCUCCCUGAUGUCUUUCACACAACAGAAACAUAAACUCAACUAAGGUCAUAGGACCUAUGAUUGCAGACUGACUAGGAGAGUGAAGAGUUCAUUCACAUUUAAAGAAAGCAGCAGCACAUAACGAGCUGCAUUUCAAUGGAAAUGUCGAGGGGGAAAAAAAAGAAAGGAAGGAAGGAAGGAAG